UGCAGAACAGGACUCAAGAACCUCAAUUUUUCAUCUGGGUUUCUCUGAUUUCAGUCUGUUAAGAGUAUCGCGCUCGAAAUUUGGUCUGGGUUGAGGCCAAGUUUUGAAAUUUUGGUGCUUUUUCACUCGAUUGGAGCUUAUUCCUUCGUGUUAUUGACCCUAAUGGACGACCAGGAGGUGUUUCCGGGUGCAAACAUGGGCGGUGAACUUGCGAGUAGUUGCUCAAUGGACAGCUUCUUCGAUGACCUGCUUAAGGACACUCAUGCUUGCACUCACGCCCACACUUGCAACCCACCCGGCCCUGAUUACUCCCACACACACACUUGCUUUCAUGUGCACACUAAAAUUCUGUCUUCAGCGAGUGAAGACAAGGCCGGAACUGAUGAUACUGCUGAAUCUGGGGAAAAGAAAUCAAAGAAACAGCCUUUGGGUAAUAAGGUAGCAGUUCGUAAGUACCGCGAGAAGGAGAAGGCGCGGGUUAAGUUGUUGGAGGAUGAAGUUGUGAAUUUGAGAGCUGAAAAUCGGCGGUUGGUGAUGAGGUUGCAGGGUCAGCCUGCAUUGGAGGCUGAGAUUGCUAGGCUCAAGUGUUUGCUUGUUGACAUUCGAGGAAGGAUUGAAGGAGAAAUUGGAUCUUUUCCAUAUAAGAAAUCAGUGAAUCCGAGCCUGCCCAACCCAAAUAUGCCCGGUGCCAUUUUUAUGAAUCCGUGUAAUGUCCAAUGUGAUGAUCAGCUUUACUGCCUUCAUCCAGGGAUGGAUGGGAAAUGUGGAGAUGGUGCAGUGAUGAAUGGGCAGGAUUUUAACGGCUGUGGUUUUGAGAGUCUUCAGUGUUUUGCUAAUCAGGAUGGAGGAGCCAAGGAGCUUCCUGAUUGUGGACUUGGAAAUGGGGUGUCGAAUGUCAAUUCUUCCGGCACAAGUAAGAGGAAAAGAGGGACUCGAGCCGCAGCAGCAAACUGAACUGCUCAGGAAGGAAGCAUUGACAUUGUCCUGAAGAGUACAUAUAUCAUCACGCAAUAAGUAGUUCUUCAAACUGCAGCAUCAGCUUUCAUUCAGAACUUAGGGAAGGUGGCAUGUGAUUUCUUUCAUGUUUCAGUACUAUGAGCUGCGAGCAGUAUAUUCCCCUUUGAGUGAUGCAUCUGGCCAUUGUGAAGGUCAAUGGAAACCCUAUUUCCACCAUUGGCGUGAAAAAUGACGAGGAUGUCUGUAGGUUCAUUGCCUGCCCUUCGAUGGUCAGUCAGAUGAUGUGAAGAAUGUGCUUCUGCUAACCAACCCACCCAUUGAACUGACAGGGACAGGAACGGCCUUCAGGCUUACCAACUCUUGUGGUGGUGGUGGUGGUGGUGGAGGAUCUAUAACCUAAUUUUUACUUCCGCUUAUACCAACCCUCUUUUGGAAUUAAAAUUAAGUUCCUCUUUGUUCUACCUCCUAUUCCCCUUCUUUGCUUCUUUCUUGAUCCUAUAUAAACCCGGCAUUUUUGUUAAAACAGUACACCCGCCUCCCGUUGAUCUAAGCUUAUCAAGACUGUUUAUUUUCGGGUAAUAUUGUUAUAGAAUCUGCUAUAUUUUGGAAUAGUCUAUGUUUGUUUUCUGGUAAUAUUGUCAUAGAAUCUGCUGCUAUAUUAUGGAUUAGCUUUGUAUGA